AUUGAACGCUGGCGGCGCGCUUAACACAUGCAAGUCGAGCGAGAACCGGGGCUUCGGCCCCGGGGAAAGCGGCGAACGGGUGAGUAACACGUGAGUCAUCCACCCCCGGCACCGGGAUAGCCCGGGGAAACCCGGAUUAAUACCGGAUGGCCCGUCUGCCCUUCGCGGCGGCCGGCAAAGGGAGCUGCCGCCUCCGGCCCAGGACGAGCUCGCGGCGGAUUAGCUUGGUGGCGGGGUAACGGGCCACCAAGGCGACGAUCCGUAGCUGGUCUGAGAGGACGAUCAGCCACACUGGGACUGAGACACGGCCCAGACUCCUACGGGAGGCAGCAGUGGGGAAUCUUGCGCAAUGGGCGAAAGCCUGACGCAGCGACGCCGCGUGCGGGAAGAAGGCCUUCGGGUUGUAAACCGCUUUCAGGAGGGACGAAGCCACUCGGGUUAAUAGCCCAGAGGGUGACGGUACCUCCAGAAGAAGCCCCGGCUAACUACGUGCCAGCAGCCGCGGUAACAC
rnacentral:rRNA from 1 species